UGUACUUUCUAGGGCAUAACUGGGGUUUUGUUAACACUGUAGAUAUACCCAGUCCUGUGUUUACUCAUUCCAUAAGUAUUUACUGGGCAUUGUCGGAUGGGCCUGAGACUCUGCUGAGCUCUGGGGUCCCAGGCACACCGACAAGCCAGACAGACAUGGUUUCUGUCACCAUGGCACAUACAGGCUCAUGAGAAAGAUGACAGAGAGAUGACAACAGACAAGUAAGCAGACAAAGAGAGACAACUGCAGGUUGUCGUGAGUAAGCAUGGCGGACAGCGAGAGCCUACUGCUGAGUAACAAGUGAAGGCGUCUUUGGGGUGGCGGUGUUUAAGAGGAGCUCUGACGAACCAGGAGUAAAAAGUGAUGCAAACUUUAGUCAGAAAGUGUAUUCCUGGCAGAUGGAGCAGGUUCCAGAAGUGUGAAUGGGGUUGGUACAUUUAAGAAGCAGAGAAGGCCAGUGUGCCUGGAGCAUUUUGAGGAAAAACAGGAAAUCAGUUGAGAUUACUGCAGCUCCCUGGGCGAAAAGUGACAGCAGCCUGGACCAGAGUGAUACCUUGAAUGUGUGGAGAAGACACGAUUGACAGCACUUGUUGAAAGAUUGGAAGUCGCCACAAGGAAGAGAGAGGAAGGAGAGCCGACCUCAGGAUCCUGAGGAAAAGGUCAGGAGACCUGCCCUGCAAAGAGAGAUCAUGAAUUUAAUUUUCAGAAAGGGAACUAAAACACACUUGAUCCAUGCAACCUCUCGCGGCUUAUAGAUCAAAAUGGGAAGAAUGCAAAGAUUAGCACGGCCCCUUCACGUGGCUAGUUCACACAUUUGUGAUGUGUAAUCAAUAAAAAAAGCUGAUCGCACUCCAAAAAGAAAAGUAUAAAGAAAAAACAAACUAAAAUAAAUAUUGUCACUAAGAAAGAUUAAAGGGG
rnacentral:lncRNA from 1 species